AGUGAACGCUGGCGGUAGGCCUAACACAUGCAAGUCGAACGGCAGCACAGGAGAGCUUGCUCUCUGGGUGGCGAGUGGCGGACGGGUGAGGAAUACAUCGGAAUCUACUCUGUCGUGGGGGAUAACGUAGGGAAACUUACGCUAAUACCGCAUACGACCUACGGGUGAAAGCAGGGGAUCUUCGGACCUUGCGCGAUUGAAUGAGCCGAUGUCGGAUUAGCUAGUUGGCGGGGUAAAGGCCAACCAAGGCGACGAUCCGUAGCUGGUCUGAGAGGUUGAUCAGGCACACUGGAACUGAGCCACGGUCCAGACUCCUACGGGAGGCAGCAGUGGGGAAUAUUGGACAAUGGGCGCAAGCCUGAUCCAGCCAUACCGCGUGGGUGAAGAAGGCCUUCGGGUUGUAAAGCCCUUUUGUUGGGAAAGAAAUCCAGCUGGCUAAUACCCGGUUGGGAUGACGGUACCCGAAGAAUAAGCACCGGCUAACUUCGUGCCAGCCGCCGCCGUAA
rnacentral:rRNA from 1 species